GGUCCCCGCGGAUGGAAGCUUUCCCCCCAUCAGCGGUUCUCCACUGAAUCAGCAGCAGGAGUCCUGGAUGAUCCCCUGGUCGCACGGCCCCUCCCCUGCUCCUUCCCGACCCGCGCCGCAGCCAUCGCAGACUCUAGGGGAGGGAGCGAUGUUCUCUCCUACCGUUCCAGCACCUCCGAGGCCAUCUGCAAGGUUUAUGAUCUCCGCCUUCUUGGUACUGUAGGUCUCUAAUGAGCUGCCAUUAUGUUUAUUCUCUGAAAUUCAGUUCUUCCAAUCUUUUGUUGUAUUUUGGAGGGGAGAGAAUCCCGGGUCAGCUCACCCCGCCAUUUUGCUCCGCCCCUAUUUCCUCUGACCUCCCAAUUUUUAAAUAGCUUUGAUCCAGAAAUUCCCUUAUGCUUUUAUGUGAUAAACACACCUAAGAGUCCUACUGUUAUCAUCUUUCAAAAAGCGGGCAAGGUUAUAAAAUGCUUGGAGUGGAUAUACUUGCCCCAGACACAAGCUAAGGUACUCUAUACAUAUUUUGAUGGAAUAGCAGAGGUUAUUCAAAGGGGAUGUUUGUGGUGUUUACAAUUGCAAGGCGCUGACCCUCAGACCAUUUUUUUACCUUGCACAUCUUCUCAAUUUGAUCAUCUCCUCGGUUAUCUCUUCCCAACCUAUUCCUGAUGCCUUAACCGUGUUCACUGACGGCUCCGGAAAAACCGGAAAAGCCAGUAUAGCUUGGCUUGCUAAUAAUGACCGGCAGACCAAAGUCUCUCACGGACAUUCAACUACUCAAAUUGCAGAAUUGGCAGCUGUGCACAUUUCUUUCUGAUAUCGCUUCUAUUGACACUCACUCUCAAUUUCUUUUCACAUCGGCACAUACAAAAAACAGCGCUAAACAAGUCAUUCAUCAUUAGCUUGCUACAUUUGCUUUCGUGGGGUCUCCUACAUGCAUUAAAACUGAUAAUGGUCCCGAGUUCUCAGCGCAAAUUUUCUGCCAAUUUUGUGCAAAUUGGAAUAUUAUCCAUAAAACUGGCAUCCCCUAUAAUUCUAUGGGACAAGCUAUUAUUGAGAGAUGUCAUAGAACACUGAAGACUGCUUUACAAAAAAUGAAAGGGGGAAAUGAGUAUUAUAAGAAUGAUCCACAAGGUAUCCUCAAUCACGCCUUAUUUACUUUAAAUUUUUUCAAUCUAGCGGAGGACGGCACAUCAGCUGCAGAAAGAUAUAUGGGUCAAACUCAGAACCAUAUGGCCCAACAAAGGCCGCAUUACACACAUCUGUUUUGACACAAUAUCUUGGCAAAAUGUGGAUUAAAACGUCCUUAUACGGAUAUCUGGGAGGGGCCUUUUAUGGUUAAAUGUGGGAAGAGAGGAGCUCUUUGUGUUUUGACAGAUAAAGGCAUUGAGUGCAUUCCAUCAAAACGCACACGGCCUGCUCUGGAAUAACCGGAAAAUGGACAAACAGAUAAGAACAAAUGUAUUUUAUUACCAACCUAAGAAAGAACAACAGGCAGCCAAUGUGACAUACAUCACUGCUAUAUCAACAUCUUACGAAGACAGAAGUAAUGUCACACAAGUUCCUUCCAUCCCAAUUUGCCAUCCAAAAACUGAUUGGUGUUACAAACAUUACUCAGUACAGUGAUCCCCUUGCCGUACAGCAUAUCCAAGCCCGGGCAACACCUUUGGGGCCAACGUGCUGGAUUAGGGACCUCAUGGACAUCUUUUAAGUGACAAUCAUACUUGGGCCUUCAACAGAUCAAGUCAGAAACCUAUAACAUGGAGCGAACACAGCCCAUCUGGACCCCUUUCACAACUAUUGUACAAUGAGACAGUGUACAGCCCCCUCACAAAGGAAUAUGGAGGAUCGGGUUGCCUUUUAUAUGACAACGAUUGUCCCAUGGUAAAUAUGAGAAUGCAAGUGGCGAUUAUUCAUUGACUCUGAUUCAAAAUGUUUCUGAUACCAUUAUGAUCUGUACCACCCAUCCUUAUGUGUUAUGGGGAAAAAAUGUCCCCACUAUUGAAGAAUCUUCUAGUAUGGAUGUAAUUAAUAUUUCUCCCCCAUAUUGGUAUUCUGAUUGUUUAACGCAUUGUAAUGUAACCUCAUUGAAUGUGACCUAUGUAAUGGUGUUAAAAGAAGAGCACAUAUUUGGUUACCUGUUUCUCUAAAUCAGACAUGGUCCGAAGAGCAUGCUCUACAUAUCCUCCUUGAGUCCAUGAGAAAAUUAUGCCCUAAGCAGUUUUUGGCUACACUAAUCGCGUUCAUUGUGUCCGCGGUGAUUAUCAUUGCAUCAGCUGCUACAGUUACUACUGCCUUCGUUAACAGUGUUCAAACAGCCCAUAAGGUGGAGUCCAUCUUGGUAAAUGUCACUCAAGAAUUACGGACACAGGCAGAUAUUGAUAAAGGGCUAAUGUCAGGAUUGCAGGCAUUAGAGGCAGCAGUAGAGUGGCUGGGAGAGCAGCAAAAUGCAUUCUAUAUGCAUAUGAAACUAAAAUGUGACUGGCAAUUUACCAUGCAAUGCGUUACCCCCCCUACUGUAUAAUAGCUCGCUGACAUCUUGGCAAGAAAUAAAAAAACAUUUACAGGGGGCAUUUAAUACCUCCCUGGCCAAUGACAUCACUCUGCUACAAGCUCAGUUAGAGAGGCAGUUACAAGAAGUACAUAAGGUGUUCUCUCAAAAAAUAUUUCAAGACAUUGAAAAUGGGUUACACUGGCUAGAGCCCUCCAAUUGGUUCUCGGGCCUCAAUUUACACAUAUUUGUUAAUACUGGUGUGAUUUUGAUAUUAUCCAUGUUAAUAGUUUAUGUUUUACGUCUGCUGUGCUCCCUGAAAAAACAACAAAGUCAACAAGAGCAAGCAUUGGUUAUGAUGGGCCUUCUGGCCUCAGCACAACAUGACACCUUCCCUGCUUUAAAAAACAAAAAAUGGGGAAAUGUAGCCACCCCUGACACAGGAAGGGUUAAUAAUCACUGGAAAAAGCUUGUCAACAAACUGUGACCUGGAGGUGAGAAGGCCGGUUAGCCAAUGACGGGUAAGACCCCCAGGGUGGGGGGGUGGCAACCUAAGCCAGGCAGCGGCUGCCCGGGGACACAGAUGGAGAAACGAUAUCUAUAUCGGGAGCAGGAGGGACCAUUGCCUAAGAGACCUUGCCUGCUCCAAGAUAAAAAUAUAGGAGCACAGCAAUAACAUGAUAAUAUCAAAACAGAGGCCAAGGGAGGGCUCCUUGAGAAAUCACUAAGAAUUC
rnacentral:lncRNA from 1 species